CCCCUCUCAGGGUCACACCUGGAGAGUUUCCAGUACUCUACCAGUCUCAAUUGCGGGAGGGAGAGUCAAGCGCAGACAUAUCCAUUCCAUUCCUAGCUUGGGCAGUGGCUAGCGAGUGGAAGGCAAUAUGCUACAAGU